rnacentral:misc_RNA from 1 species
GAUGAAGAACGUAGCGAAAUGCGAUAAGUAAUGUGAAUUGCAGAAUUCAGUGAAUCAUCGAAUCUUUGAACGCACCUUGCGCCCUUUGGCUAUUCCAAAGGGCAUGCCUGUUUGAGUAUCAUGAACACCUCAACUCUCAUGGUCUGCCAUGAUGAGCUUGGACUUUGGAGGUCUGCUGGCCUGUGGUCAGCUCCUCUCAAAUGAAUCAGCUUUCCGGUGUUAGGUGGCAUCAUGGGUGUGAUAAAUAUCUACGCUUGUGGUUUUCCACCAGGUAACCUUCAGUGAUGGGGGUUCGCUGGGGCUCAUAAAUGUCUCUCCUCAGCGAAGACAGCUUUGUGAAUGUUUGAUCUCAAAUCAGGUAGGACUACCCGCUGAACUUAAGCAUAUCAAUAAGCGGAGGA